CAUUUUGCCUUGAAAAUUGAUUUUUCGUCCAAGAUACACGGCAUUAAAUUUUUCAUCUUGCUAAUAUAUUUUUAAUAAAUUGUAAUUAAAUUCAUUUAAUUUAAAAUUUAAAGUGUUUGAAACUUUUUCAAAACAAUGCCGAGAUCAUACGAUAGAAAUGAAUACAAUGAUGAUGCAGAAUAUAAAAGAAAACAUCGUGAAGAAGAAGGCAGCAGCAGCCAUCACCAGCAAGCUGAUGCGAUACCGCUAAAUGAAAAAACUAAUGAAUAUUUACAAGAUUGUUUAUCAGAAAAGAAAUCGGUGGAUAAAAAAUAUCCCAUUUGUAAAAAACUUUUGGAUACUGAAAUCGAAAAGGUGCUGGUUAGCUCAAGAAUUCCUAGAGCAGAAACAUUUGCCAAUGUCUACAGUGAAAAACCUAUUCGUAUAGCACAAAAAGUUAUUUUUCCUAUUCGGGAUUAUCCAAAGUUCAACUUUGUUGGUAAAAUUUUGGGACCGAAAGGAAAUACAUUGCGUCAACUUCAAGAGCACACACAAUGCAAAAUGAUUAUUUUGGGAAGAAAUUCAAUGCGUGAUCAUGACAAAGAGGAAGAACUUCGUUCAUCGGGUGAUCCAAAAUACAAUCAUUUGAGUAGGGAUCUUCAUGUGGAAAUAUCGACAGUGGCACCUCCAUCAGAAGCUUAUGCUCGAUUGGCAUAUGCUCUGGCGGAGAUUAGGAAAUUCUUGGUGCCCGAUAGCAAUGAUGAGAUUCGUCAAGAACAAAUGCGAGUUAUGGAUAUUGGGAAAGAUAAAGCUUAUAAGCAUCCUGUUUCUAGGUCGUAUGGAGCACCUUAUCAUGGCGGAAGCAGGAGUCCUCCACCACCCCCAUCAUUCGAUAAACCUUCUAAGCCAAAAGUUUAUAGCAUUUUGGAGAAAGCACGUUACGCUAUGGAUGAUGGUUAUUCUGUCAGCAAAUCAAGGCCACGCGAACACGACCCUUAUGAUCAUGAUGAUUAUGGUAGGUAUUCUCCACCGCCAAAGCAUUCCUCUUCGCAUGGACACUAUGAAGGUUCUUCCUAUGAAAGAGGAGAAUACAGACGUGAACAUCCAUCAUCUUACUCUCAUAGUGGGUAUCCAAUUUUCAGUUAAAAAAAGGAACAAACUAUAAAUAAUGGAUAUCUGGCGGUAAAUCAAUUUUUAAAAAAUCAUUAAAACAAAUAAACAAACACGAUUUGAAAUUUAAAUUCAAUGAUAAAACACCAACCAGACCCAGUUGUUGGAGUAAAACAAAAUCAUCAAAUCUAAAUGAAAAGAAGCUAACAGAUACUUUGAAAUAAAUCUAUUUGUCGUUUUGCUGAAAACAAUAUUGAUUUCACGCUUUUUUGUUGUUGUCAAAAUGCAAUGCAAAAUAAUUUUGCUUCUUUGGAUUGCAAAUUAACUACAUACUUUAAAUGAUAUUUAACUAGGUUGCGUAUUAGUUCCCGGGAUCCACAACCGACAAAUUACUUUAUUUGAAUAAUUUCAUUAAAUUCCAUUGCUGAAGGCAAUCCCUUCAAUUGCACAAAUUUUAUUUAAUUUUUUUAUAUAGUUGCUGCUUAAUUUUUUUUUGUAUUAAUGAACAACAAAAAAACAGGAUACAUUCAUUUUGUGAUACUCUAUCGUGUAUCUAAUGUUUGGAAGUAUUUAAAACAUUACUUGAUACGAGGGAAGCUGAAAUGGAAUACAGACUUGACACCCGCAUUAAUUGCAAGGAUUUUUUUCGAAGAUGAUGGAUCCAUUUGGAUUGCCGAAGCAACAAUUGCUAAUGAAAACAUACAAAUUUAUAUCGACUAGGGUGUUUUCAUAAACGUCGGAAAUCUGCGUUGGUACAAUCGUCUUUCUGCUUUGCUGCAUUAAUGAACACACCAAUUCUGCAGAAUGUUUGCAGGCCUGCGUUAGUACAAUUUUCAGCAGUCACUGCCCUUCAAGAAAACUGAGUUCAAAAAAGACACUCCGACCGAGAAAACCGGGGUUGCACUCACGCACUUGCAACUUUUUGUGUAUGAACACAAAGUCGAAGGAGAAAUCGUGGUGAAAUACAUAUAAAAUCGGCUCCGCGGUGAUUAUAAUUUCCAUACUAAUUUCAGCCGCCUUCGGACCCGUUUCGUAGUCGAAGUCAGACUCAGCUCCGCCUGACGCGGAGCGGAUUCGGACCGAGGUCGGACUCGUUUGCCUGAAGGGUGAGUGUUCAUAAACGUCAGAAAAAAAGACCACAGAAUUAGUUUUGUUUGAUAAGCAAAUAAAUACUUCGUUUUUCAGUUCCCGAAAACAUGUUUUUAAUAGCACGGAAAAUUUGUAAACCGUGUUAUAUUAGGGGGGCACAAAAAAAAAAAAAUAAAUACAUAUUAUUUUCUUCUACUUUUAAUAGCGGAAUAAAAAAAAACAAGUGGUUCACACUUGAAACAAAUUAUUGAAUGGAGAAAAAUAUUUUGAAUGGUGUUUAAAAAGAAAUUGUUUUGCGUUUGAAACAAAAAAAUUAGUUUUACUGCACAAAAAGUUUUUUUGUUUGCUAUACCAAUAUUAAAUUCAUAUCAAAUUAAUUAAAUCAAUUUUGUUUGAAGAGUAAAUUUAAAAUAUACUAUGUUUCUGAGCCCCUUAAUGCGAAAAUGCAUGCUCAUUUCUCAUUUAUAUUUCAUAAACCAUGUCCUACAAACUUUCUCUGUAGUGAAAAUUAUUUUUUUUCAAAAUUAAAAAAAAUAAUUUUGAGCCACCCUAAUGUAUAUUUUUUUUCUUCCAUAAUUUGGUCAAAAUAAUAUCCACGUUUAAUUUUUUCGAAUUCCACAGGAAACUGUAGAAGUUAACAUUUUUUAGAGCCACCCUAACACGGAAAAAAGCAAUUUAAACUCGUAUCAAAAAACACGAUUUAGAAAUUUUCUGCAUCAUUAAAAUCAAAAUUUUUCUAAAAACGAAUUAAGAAACAUUUUUUGCACCACUCUAAUAAUUAAUAUGUUUGCUUUUCAUUUUUAUUUUACAAUAUUUACAUUUAUUUACAAUAAUAACAUCGAAUCAAAAGCCAAAUAAACUUCUUCGCGAGAUCUGCAGUCAUAAAAUUUUGGCUGCGCAAUCUGCCCGACGUUGGACUAAGUUAGUCCGAUCGCAGAUCUGACUUUAUGAACACGACUAACGCAGGCCUAAGUUAGGCAUACGUUUAUGAAAACACACAUGCUUAGAUUUAAAAAACAAAACAAAUGUUACAAGUACAUUUUUUUAAGUAAUAAAAUAAUAAGAAUUUCAUAAAAUCCAGAACUAAUUUGGAAAUAAUGGUUUUGAACGAAAUUCCCUUUAUUUGUUUGGGAUUCAAAAUAAUUAACAAAAAAACUCUGUCGGCAUCAUCGCACAGUGGGGCAGAAGUAGUGGUUUCGUGCGAUAAAUUAUUUUGAAAAGUCGUAAGUAAUUUUUUUGUGUUUCAAAGCAUAGUACGCAGCUGAAGGGAAAAAUAUUUUUUAAUCAAGAAAUAAAUUAAUUAAAAAUGAAAAAAACCGGCAUCACAAUUCUUUGAAUGAAGAAAAAUGUCCAGUAUAAUAAAAAAUAAAUGACAAAUGAAAGAAAAUCCCAAUUUUUUCCCUAGAGCUGCCUACUGAAAAACAAAAAUCAAAUUUAUCUUUUCGUUCUAGAUUUCGUUGUACUAUUUUUGUAUCGAAAAUUUCGUUUUGCUAGGGUCAAAGCUUUAUGGUGGAAAAAACAAUCAAUUAUUUUUUAUUUUAUACUGAAAAAUGUUGAUUUUGAUAACUAUAGCGUUUCAUUGGGCAGAAUUAUUUGAUUAUUUGUUUGAUUAUGCCUGGUUCGCAGACUGACCUAAUUUUAGCCGAGAUAAAAUUCCCAUAUUAGUUAUCGAUAAUUUGAAUGGGAUAAAUUUUGGCUCGGCUAAAAUUUGUCGAUAAUUUGUAUGGAAGUUAAAAUUUAUCUCGAUCUGCGUACUAGGCUUAUAAUCAAUUUUGCAAAUCUAAAUUUUUCGAAAGAUUCUCCAUGCACUAACACCAAUACAAUUUUCAUCCAUCAGUUUGAUCAGUGUGGUUUAUGGUGUACUUAUCUUAAUUCGAUUGUGUUUAAAAUAAAAUAAAUACAUAAUUCUUAUUCAAAUAAAAAAAAAAAUUGUUUCUAUUUUUUUUUCUUAAAGCCUGGUACGCAGAUCGAGCUAAAUUUUAGCUCCCAUACAAAUUAUCGAAAAAAUUUAGCCGAGCUAAAUAGAAAUAUCUAUUUUCCAAUGAAAAACCCCAUUAGAUGGAGGCACCCUGUUGUCAUAUCUUUAUGCCACAAAAAAAUAUCUGGGAAGAAAUCGUCAAACAUGCUUGACAAACAAAGAUUGUGAACGCAUUUGAAUCGUCAUGCUUGUCAAACAAAUUUGACCAUGUGAACCCCGUCUAAAAACAGUCCCCCUUUUUUUAAACAUUUUUGUCAGCAGAGGCUUCUUUAUUCUAUUUGCACAGUAUGUACAUAUGUAAAUAAAGUUGAUGACCUACCUUUUCGGACUUUGUCUGACUAGGCUCCGCUACAAACAUAGACAACAACAUCAGCGCUGAAAUCAAACGGAGAAUUACUUUUGCUACUUUGGUUUGAGAAGGCAAUUGACCAGCAAAGCCCUCUCUCGAGCAACUAAGGUGUCCUUAUAUAAAAUCAUUAUCAUCCCAGUCCUGCUAUAUGGUGCAGAAGCAUGGAAUUUAGCGAAGGCGGAUGAGAACAUUUUGGAUUCUUUCGAGAGAAAAGUUCUUCGGGCGAUUAUUAUUCAUGUGUGCAUUGAUGGUGAUUGGAGAAGAAGAUACAACAACGAAUUGUACGGGUUGUACAAUGAUACUAACCUAGCCAAGAGAGUAAAAGUGCAGCGCCUGAGAGGGUUAUGUCAUGCAAAGCGCAUGGACAACAAUGCUCCGGCCCGGAAAGUUUUCGACCCCAACCUAGAGGUUUAAAGCAGAGAAAGAACUCGUCUGAGGUAGAGCAACCAAGUGGAGGCGGAUCUCAAUCAACUUGGCGUGCGAAACUGGAAUCGGCGAAGUAAGGAUCGGCUUGGCUGGAGAAGCUCGUUGGUAGAGGCCCAAAUCCACAAUGGAUUGCAGCCGCCUUAUGGAGCUGGCCUCCCUAAGUAAGACCUACAUUUCAAUUAUUUUGGAUUUUAUUUUAAGGAACUUCAAACUCAUGACUAAAACCAACCGUGAGUAUUCUUAACACUAUAAGAAGCCCAAAAGCUAAAUAAUAACAACAAAUUGAUCAUUAAAAAAAAAAAAAAAAAAAAAAAAA